rnacentral:rRNA from 1 species
UACGUAGGGGGCUAGCGUUGUCCGGAAUCAUUGGGCGUAAAGCGCGUGUAGGCGGCCCGGUAAGUCCGCUGUGAAAGUCGGGGGCUCAACCCUCGGAUGCCGGUGGAUACUGUCGGGCUCGAGUGCGGAAGAGGCGAGUGGAAUUCCUGGUGUAGCGGUGAAAUGCGCAGAUAUCAGGAGGAACACCAAUUGCGAAGGCAGCUCGCUGGGACGUUACUGACGCUGAGGAGCGAAAGCGUGGGGAGCGAACAGG